GGACGAACGCUGGCGGCGUGCCUAAUACAUGCAAGUAGAACUUUGAAGGAGGAGCUUGCUUCUCCGGAUGAGUUGCGAACGGGUGAGUAACGCGUAGGUAACCUGCCUGGUAGCGGGGUUUAACUAUUGGAAACGAUAGCUAAUACCGCAUAAGAGUAGAUGUUGCAUGACAUUUGCUUAAAAGGUGCAAUUGCACCACUACCAGAUGGACCUGCGUUGUAUUAGCUAGUUGGUGGGGUAACGGCUCACCAAGGCGACGAUACAUAGCCGACCUGAGAGGGUGAUCGGCCACACUGGGACUGAGACACGGCCCAGACUCCUACGGGAGGCAGCAGUAGGGAAUCUUCGGCAAUGGACGGAAGUCUGACCGAGCAACGCCGCGUGAGUGAAGAAGGUUUUCGGAUCGUAAAGCUCUGUUGUAAGAGAAGAACGAGUGUGAGAGUGGAAAGUUCACACUGUGACGGUAUCUUACCAGAAAGGGACGGCUAACUACGUGCCAGCAGCCGCGGUAAUACGUAGGUCCCGAGCGUUGUCCGGAUUUAUUGGGCGUAAAGCGAGCGCAGGCGGUUAGAUAAGUCUGAAGUUAAAGGCUGUGGCUUAACCAUAGUACGCUUUGGAAACUGUUUAACUUGAGUGCAAGAGGGGAGAGUGGAAUUCCAUGUGUAGCGGUGAAAUGCGUAGAUAUAUGGAGGAACACCGGUGGCGAAAGCGGCUCUCUGGCUUGUAACUGACGCUGAGGCUCGAAAGCGUGGGGAGCAAACAGGAUUAGAUACCCU
rnacentral:rRNA from 1 species